rnacentral:rRNA from 1 species
CAAGACUUGACAUCCCGCUGACCGGUUUAGAGAUAGACCUUCCCUUCGGGGCAGCGGUGACAGGUGGUGCAUGGUUGUCGUCAGCUCGUGUCGUGAGAUGUUGGGUUAAGUCCCGCAACGAGCGCAACCCCUAAAUUGUGUUGCCAUCAUUCAGUUGGGCACUCACAAUUGACUGCCGGUGACAAACCGGAGGAAGGCGGGGAUGACGUCAAAUCAUCAUGCCCCUUAUGUCUUGGGCUACACACGUGCUACAAUGGGCGGUACAAAGGGUUGCGAUGCCGCGAGGCGGAGCCAAUCCCAAAAAGCCGCUCACAGUUCGGAUUGCAGGCUGCAACUCGCCUGCAUGAAGCUGGAAUUGCUAGUAAUCGCGGAUCAGCAUGCCGCGGUGAAUUCGUUCCCGGGCCUUGUACACACCGCCCGUCACACCAUGGGAGUUGGCAACACCCGAAGCCGGUGAGGUAACCGCAAGGAGCCAGCCGUCUAAGGUGGAGUCGAUGACUGGGGUG